rnacentral:rRNA from 1 species
AUUGAACGCUGGCGGAAUGCUAUACACAUGCAAGUCGAACGGCAGCACGGACUUCGGUCUGGUGGCGAGUGGCGAACGGGUGAGUAAUGUAUCGGAACGUGCCCAGUCGUGGGGGAUAACGUAGUGAAAAUUACGCUAAUGCCGCAUACGAUCUAUGGAUGAAAGCGGGGGAUCGCAAGACCUCGCGCGAUUGGAGCGGCCGAUAUCAGAUUAGGUAGUUGGUGGGGUAAAGGCCCACCAAGCCACCGAUCUGUCGCUGGUCUGAGAGGACGACCAGCCACACUGGAACUGAGACACGGUCCAGACUCCUACGGGAGGCAGCAGUGGGGAAUUUUGGACAAUGGGCGAAAGCCUGAUCCAGCCAUUCCGCGUGAAGGAUGAAGGCCCUCGGGUUGUAAACUGCUUUUGUACAGAACGAAAAGGUUUCUACUAAUACUAGGAGCUCAUGACGGUACUGUAAGAAUAAGCACCGGCUAACUACGUGCCAGCAGCCGCCGUAA